AGAUGUUCACAUGGAACACACGAAUAUCACCAGACACCAUGUAAAGCUAUAGAGAAUACCUUGUGGUUCCACGCAAUCCCGAGCCUCUUAAAAGAGUUAACCCGCUGAAGGAAACCUGCCAUGACAACAAAACCAACAAAGUUAAUAGAAGGGCCAGACCACACCCCAUGCAUCCGAAUUUUUUUAAGCUCUACCGAUAUAGCGUGACCUCACAUUUGUUCUUCACAGAAGGGGUGACUAUUUGCCUAGCUUGUUGUUUUCGGCAUGAUAAAAAAAGUACAAGGAAAUAUUUCCGCUCACCAGGAUCCCGGCCAAGUGAGCACACACCUCUGAUCAUUUUGCUCAAACCUCUCUCUGGUUAUUUGUUGUCCAAGAACCUUGUGAGGCACCGGUCCAAAAGAAAAGAAAGCCAAUCCGACAAAAUGUUCGACUCUGAGGGAAUGAAUUGAUUUGCGAGUAUUUUGUGAACUGCUGAUACCUGACAGUCGGCGAUGGAUGCCGACGACGCAGG
rnacentral:lncRNA from 1 species